rnacentral:rRNA from 1 species
UACGUAGGGUGCGAGCGUUGUCCGGAAUUACUGGGCGUAAAGAGCUCGUAGGUGGUUUGUCGCGUUGUUCGUGAAAACUCACAGCUCAACUGUGGGCGUGCGGGCGAUACGGGCAGACUGGAGUACUGCAGGGGAGACUGGAAUUCCUGGUGUAGCGGUGAAAUGCGUAGAUAUUGGGAGGAACACCAGUGGCGAAGGCGGCUCACUGGACCGGUUCUGACGCUGAGGCGCGAAAGCGUGGGGAGCAAACGGG